UUCCCCGCCCGGCAGCGGAGCGUCGCAUGUGCUACUCGGGCUCGCUCGCUAUCAACAGCAGUCUGCGAGAGAGGAGCCGCUCGUGCAACCUCCAGUCAACAACAAACCCACCCCUCCUCCCUCUCCCUCUCUCCCUCUCCUCCCUCUCCCUCUCUCUCUUUCCCCGGACCCGAGCAUGACUCCUCAGACGUUUCACCGCGACUGAACUGAACACACGGCCGCCUCCUGACAUGGCUUCGUAUCUGCAGAUCGCCGAUGACGAGAAAGGCCACGAGCUGGACCUUUUCUGUGUCCCCAGACAUUAUGAGAACGAUUUGGACAAGGUGAUCAUCCCCCACGGACUCAUCAUGGACAGGACAGAGCGUCUGGCCCGCGACAUAAUCCGGGACAUGGGGGGACACCACAUCGUAGCUCUGUGUGUGCUAAAAGGGGGCUACAAGUUCUUCGCAGACCUCCUUGACUACAUCAAAGCACUGAACCAGAACAGUGAUAAAUCAGUCCCGCUGACAGUGGAUUUCAUUAGGGUGAAGAGCUACUGUAAUGACAAGUCAACAAACAGUGUCAAAGUCAUAGGAGGGGAUGAGCUGUCCAAUCUCUCAGGCAAGAAUGUUUUGAUUGUCGAGGAUAUUGUGGAGACGGGAAGGACGAUGCAGACGCUACUGUCCUUGCUGAGUGAAUGUAAUCCCAAAAUGGUUAAAGUUGUAAGGCUGCCUUCUGGUGAAGAGGACCCCGAGGAGUUCAGGGUACAGACCAGACUACAUUGGCUUUGAGGUACCAGAUGCCUUUCUGGUAGGCUACGCUUUGGACUACAAUGAAUACUUCAGAGAUCUCAGUCACAUCUGCAUACUGAAUGACCAAGCCAAGGAGAAAUACAAAGUGUGAGCAGAUUAAGUGCUGCAGAAGCGAUGACUGAAUCAAUGAAGACUAGGACCACUGUGAGGACCCUCGUUAGCUUUGCUGUGUUUUGAAUCUUAUUUAUUUUUCUACAUACGAAUCCACAAAAAAGUGACAUGUGGGUUGUAAAUAUCUUCAAGAACAUUUCUUUUGCCCCCAACUGAAUAAGUGGGAUCAGUUGUGUAUAUUAAGAAUAUUUUGGUUGUCAAAUUUUAAUUUAUUUAUUCACCUUUGUGUAUAGACUCUACCUGUAAAUUGCAGUUUUAUCUUGGAGAUAGAGAAAGAAUGUAAUUAAUUUGCUCUGGCUCAUGAAAUCACAGGUCUCAGGCUAAUGCUUUAUGUUCAGUGAGCUGUCAGAUGUUAGCACGUGUUUUCGUUUCGACUUAUAAUGCUGAUAUAUCCUCUCAUUAUGCCAUAAAAUUACUGACUUGAAAUGUACUGUAUGUUUAAUUUCAUAUCUGAUGUUUUCAUGGAAGACCUGUUUACAGCAAUACAAAUCCCAUUGAAACCUUGAA